CCAGACUCCUACGGGAGGCAGCAGUGAGGAAUAUUGGUCAAUGGGCGGGGGCCUGAACCAGCCAAGUCGCGUGAGGGAAGAAGGUACUGAGUAUUGUAAACCUCUUUUGCCAGGGGACAAAGGCGGCCACGGGUGGCCGUAAGAGGGUACCUGGAGAAAAAGCAUCGGCUAACUCCGUGCCAGCAGCCGCGGUAAUACGGAGGGUGCGAGCGUUAUCCGGAUUUAUUGGGUUUAAAGGGUGCGUAGGCGGUUUUUUAAGUUAGUGGUUAAACGUCGGGGCUUCACCUUGAUUUGCCAUUAAUACUGUAAGACUCGAGUUCAGACGAGGUAGGCGGAAUAAGUUAAGUAGCGGUGAAAUGCUUAGAUAUAACUUAGAACUCCGAUAGCGAAGGCAGCAUACCGGUGCACAACUGACGCUCAGGCACGAAAGCGUGGGUAUCGAACAGGAUUAGAUACCCGAGUACA
rnacentral:rRNA from 1 species